GCUUAACACAUGCAAGUCGAGCGGUAGCACAGGGGAGCUUGCUCCCUGGGUGACGAGCGGCGGACGGGUGAGUAAUGUCUGGGAAACUGCCUGAUGGAGGGGGAUAACUACUGGAAACGGUAGCUAAUACCGCAUAACGUCGCAAGACCAAAGAGGGGGACCUUCGGGCCUCUUGCCAUCAGAUGUGCCCAGAUGGGAUUAGCUAGUAUGUGGGGUAAUGGCUCACCUAGGCGACGACCCCUAGCUGGUCUGAGAGGAUGACCAGCCACACUGGAACUGAGACACGGUCCAGACUCCUACGGGAGGCAGCAGUGGGGAAUAUUGCACAAUGGGCGCAAGCCUGAUGCAGCCAUGCCGCGUGUGUGAAGAAGGCCUUCGGGUUGUAAAGCACUUUCAGCGAGGAGGAAGGUGGUGAACUUAAUACGUUCAUCAAUUGACGUUACUCGCAGAAGAAGCACCGGCUAACUCCGUGCCAGCAGCCGCGGUAAUACGGAGGGUGCAAGCGUUAAUCGGAAUUACUGGGCGUAAAGCGCACGCAGGCGGUCUGUCAAGUCGGAUGUGAAAUCCCCGGGCUCAACCUGGGAACUGCAUUCGAAACUGGCAGGCUAGAGUCUUGUAGAGGGGGGUAGAAUUCCAGGUGUAGCGGUGAAAUGCGUAGAGAUCUGGAGGAAUACCGGUGGCGAAGGCGGCCCCCUGGACGAAGACUGACG
rnacentral:rRNA from 1 species